rnacentral:lncRNA from 1 species
UUCAUCGUAGAUUUGCAUGCUUUAUAUAAAAUUCGAAUUUGGAGCAUUAUUUAGUGAUUUUAGAUGAAGUUAUAUAUGCUGAACUGGGAUUUGACUUAGGAGAAAACUCGUUAAACCUACACUAUCACUUUUCGAAAGGUAACCGACUUAGUUUCAUGAGCUGUUAUUCUUUUGUAUCACCGCUGUUAAUGCGUAGUGGAUACUCAGAUUAGUGUAGGUUGAGAUUACGCUCGUGCUGACGGGCCGAGCUCGUUUUACAGUAAAGUACAGACUGUUCCGUACUGUCGGGUGUCGUCGUGGUUGACGGUGGACCCAGAUGUUUACAUCUUGUUUAGAUUGUGCCGAGGGCAUGUGAGUUUUGGUUGUUAGA